ACAAACUUGGUCAUUUAGAGGAAGUAAAAGUCGUAACAAGGUAACCGUAGGUGAACCUGCGGUUGGAUCAUUACAGAAGUGGAGAAGGAAAGGGGGUUUUUCCCCCUUUAGUGCCCGCACCGCGGGUAGGAAGAGAAGAGUCUAGUCUCUUUCUUUCUGUGUCUUUAUAGGACGGUAGAGCCACAUACACUGUGGAAUGCAUCUUCGUUCUUUCCUUCACCCUUUUUUACGGCACUCAAACGGUGUGUUGAAAAGGAAUUGAGGGUAGUAGGAAGGUGUCGGGGAAGGAAGGUCUUCUCCGCUGCCGUCUCUGUACCUCCAAAAACGCAGUCUUGCGUGGUUCUCAAUCUCCUCUACCAUGGUUUGUGGUGGUAGGGGGAGAGGAUUGCGGAAGAAAAAGCCAAAAACAUGGUUCAAAAUGACAAUGAGAAAAAAGCACAACUUUUGACAACGGAUCUCUUGGCUCUCGCAUCGAUGAAGAACGCAGC
rnacentral:misc_RNA from 1 species